rnacentral:rRNA from 1 species
CUUCGGGUUGUAAACCUCUUUCAGUAGGGAAGAAGCCGGCCUUCGGGUUGGUGACGGUACCUGCAGAAGAAGCGCCGGCUAACUACGUGCCAGCAGCCGCGGUAAUACGUAGGGCGCAAGCGUUAUCCGGAAUUAUUGGGCGUAAAGAGCUCGUAGGCGGUUUGUCGCGUCUGCCGUGAAAGUCCGGGGCUUAACCCCGGAUCUGCGGUGGGUACGGGCAGACUAGAGUGCAGUAGGGGAGACUGGAAUUCCUGGUGUAGCGGUGAAAUGCGCAGAUAUCAGGAGGAACACCGAUGGCGAAGGCAGGUCUCUGGGCUGUAACUGACGCUGAGGAGCGAAAGCAUGGGGAGCGAACAGGAUUAGAUACCCUGGUAGUCCAUGCCGUAAACGUUGGGCACUAGGUGUGGGGGACAUUCCACGUUUUCCGCGCCGUAGCUAACGCAUUAAGUGCCCCGCCUGGGGAGUACGGCCGCAAGGCUAAAACUCAAAG